AUUGAACGCUGGCGGCAGGCCUAACACAUGCAAGUCGAAUGGUAACAGGAAACAGCUUGCUGUUUCGCUGACGAGUGGCGGACGGGUGAGUAAUGUCUGGGAAACUGCCUGAUGGAGGGGGAUAACUACUGGAAACGGUAGCUAAUACCGCAUAACGUCGCAAGACCAAAGAGGGGGACCUUCGGGCCUCUUGCCAUCAGAUGUUCCCAGAUGGGAUUAGCUAGUAGGUGGGGUAACGGCUCACCUAGGCGACGAUCCCUAGCUGGUCUGAGAGGAUGACCAGCCACACUGGAACUGAGACACGGUCCAGACUCCUACGGGAGGCAGCAGUGGGGAAUAUUGCACAAAGGGCGCAAGCCUGAUGCAGCCAUGCCGCGUGUAUGAAGAAGGCCUUCGGGUUGUAAAGUACUUUCAGCGGGGAGGAAGGGAGUAAAGUUAAUACCUUUGCUCAUUGACGUUACCCGCAGAAGAAGCACCGGCUAACUCCGUG
rnacentral:rRNA from 1 species